GACGAACGCGGGGGGCGUGCUUAACACAUGCAAGUCGAACGGUGAAGCCUUUCCUUUUUGGUGGGUGUGGAUGAGUGGCGAACGGGUGAGUAACACGUGAGUAACCUGCCCCCUUUUCUGGAUAACCGCAUGAAAGUGUGGCUAAUACGGGAUAUUCUGGGUCUGUCGCAUGAUGGGUCUGGGAAAAAUUGCGCCUUUUGGGUGUUUUUGGUGGGGGAUGGGCUCGCGGCCUAUCAGCUUGUUGGUGGGGUGAUGGCCUACCAAGGCGGUGACGGGUAGCCGGCCUGAGAGGGUGGACGGUCACACUGGGACUGAGACACGGCCCAGACUCCUACGGGAGGCAGCAGUGGGGAAUAUUGCACAAUGGGCGCAAGCCUGAUGCAGCGACGCCGCGUGAGGGAUGGAGGCCUUCGGGUUGUGAACCUCUUUCGCCAGUGAAGCAGGCCUGCCCCUUGGUGGGUGGGA
rnacentral:rRNA from 1 species